AAGCAGCGCGUCAUGGUUUUCAACAUUAGAGAAGGUGCAAGCCAUCAUUUGCUGCUCUA
rnacentral:pre_miRNA from 1 species